GGAGGGUGCAAGCGUUAUUCGGAAUCACUGGGCGUAAAGAGCGCGUAGGCGGUUUCUAAAGUCAGAUGUGAAGCCCGGGCUCAACCCGGAAGUGCAUUUGAAACUUAGGGACUUGAGUAUGGGAGAGGGAAGUGGAAUUCCUGGUGUAGCGGUGAAAUGCGUAGAUAUCAGGAGGAACACCGGUGGCGAAGGCGACUUCCUGGACCAAUACUGACGCUGAGGCGCGAAGGCGUGGGGAGCAAACAGGAUUAGAUACCCUGGUAGUCCACGCAGUAAACGUUGAACACUAGGUGUAGCGGGUAUUGACCCCCCUGCUGUGCCCGCAGCUAACGCAUUAAGUGUUCCGCCUGGGGGAGUACGGCCCGCAAGGCUAA
rnacentral:rRNA from 1 species